AGAAAUGUGGAUUAACAAUGUCGACAUUUAUCAAGAACAUGGUUUUUCAUUUCAGAAUUGUUCAACCAAUAAAGGUGACUUUUUGGGGAGAGAAUGUGUUAAGAAUGUCGACAUUUUUUCCUCAUUUUUUUGGGUAGUCAUAUGGAAUUGAAAAAACUCGUGAUUUUUGCUUCGAAAAACCAAAGAACCCAAGAUUUCUAGAUGCGAUGAACACUACAAGUUUUAUUUCGCCACAUAAUCAAAUCCCACUAUAAAAACAGGGAAGCUGAAAUUUUAGUGAAGAUGCUGAAAAUGGCCUUAGGAAUCAGGUCUUUCUGUUGUUGAAUCACACUGUCAGAACAUUCUUGAAGCUGAUAUUGCUCUCUUUGCUUCUCCUAAGCAAUUACUCUGUGUUUGAAUGCAAUGAUGAGAAGUUGAGUGACUUGCACAAGGCAAUGUCGCUGACAGCUUUAAAAAUCCACCCACAUUUUUAAGGCAAGCUCUUCUUUCCUCUUCUUCCCAUUAUCAGAUGUACAGUUGCUUGUGUCUUGUUGAAUCCCGCUUCCACUGUCGAGCAUGUAAAGUCUGCAUGAUUGCCUUGGUAAUUGGUUAUUCUGGUUUUCUGUAUAUUUGCAUCCUGUCUAGGCUUUUGUGAUUCUUUAUAGGCACCUGUUAAGGCUGUAAUGCUAGUACUUCAAAACACCUCUAAAUUUUUCCUCUGCCAAUGUUUGCCUUUGGAAUUUUCAGUUAUGGGUAUCAUUCGUAACCCAGGAAUGCUCAUUUUUUCCCCUCGUCUUAAAAUUCUCUGAAAAGCUGACUUUACUUCAUGUGUAUCCCUAUUCUUGCAUUAGCUGAUCUGUCUGGUCAUUUUGGUGAAUGUUUAUUUGUUAUUGAAACUUUUAACUAUUCUUCUCAUCUCACAUGUGUCGUCUUGAGAGUUCUUUCCUCACCCAGUAUUAGCUCUCUGAAGCAGAUGUUGAAGGAAAAUUGUAAUCGAGAUGGCUUAAAAUAAAUACAUGGUUUGUUUUAGGGACAGAGGGAGUGAAUUAUACAAGGUAUGAAGUAUGUAGUAAUUGUUGUCAUGAUUUUUGAACAAGGGAUGUGAAUUUUUUUUUAUAGAAGGAUAGAAACAAUACAAUAUCUAUAGUUAUAUGAUUCAAAUUUGUGUGAUGCAUAAUAUUGGACUGUAAAAGGAAAUAUAACUGAAGCCAUAUACUGUACAUUUUCCUCCCUUUUGUGUAUAUGAUGAAAGUGAAUUGUAUAGACUUCUGCCUCUGAAUAUGUUUAAUUUUUCUAACAGAAAGUGUCAUUACAAAAUGUUUGAACAAUUUAUUCUGACCCUUUAAGAGCUGUGUGGUUACAGGUUGGUCAUCAGGCUGAAUUCAAAGACAGCCAGUUGUCACGGGUCAUCUCCCACACCAAGGAGGGACGUCAAGAGGGUCACUAGGCAGCAAGGCAACAAUCGGGGCUAGGGGGCUUGCCUUGGUGCUCAGCUAAGCACUUCCCCCUAAAGAGCUUUAUUUAGCACCUUGCUUAAAAUACUAGUGAACACCCACUUGACAGUAACACAAUAAUGGGCCAUUUGGACGAGCAAGUGGGCUCUAAAUGGGCUCAAAUUUGGGGGUCCACCGUAUUUUGGGCCAAGGAAGACGAUGGUGGUGUCGGUUUUCCGAGACGAGGUCCCGAAAUACAAGUUUGUGCAGCAGGUAGCCCGGAAAACGCGAGAAGCUUCUAGAAGGUUCCGGAGCUAUCUACGGGGUUCUUUUGGAGGAGUAUUCUAGAAGGGAUGUCUCUAGAAUAUUCAAGGUUCAUCUAGUGCAUCUUAGAAGUCUCUAGGGUCUUCUAUGUAUGUACAUUUUGUAUGUAAAGUUCUAGAAUGUUCUAGGUUAGUCCUUAGCAUUCUAGGAAGGAAGCUUGUAGAAAACCUCCAUGUAUGUAUUUCCUAAGGAGGUGGGAACACUCUAGAUCCUUGUAGUCUAGAACCCUCCAUUUGAGGAGGUUAGGAACGUUCUAGAUAUAGGUUGUAAGUAGGGAGGAGCACUAUAAAUAGGCUCCAAGGCAUCAUUUGUACAUUUAAGUUGAGAGCAAUACAAAAAGUCUUUCUUAAGCACUUGUGUUCUCUUGCAACUCAAUCCUUUCCUUCCAACACUUAGAGAGUGUGAGGAAAACUAAGGCACGAGGGUGCCAAGUGAGUGAUCGGGCAUACCAGCAAGGGUGAUAGCUUGGGUGCUCAAUUGUCUACGACACUUAGUCGUAAAUUCGGACUAAGGCACUAAGGGUGAGUGCUUAGUUCAACCAAAGGGGACUUGUUAGCACAAAGGGAUCGUGCUAGCAAACUUAUACUAGCAGCACAAGGAGUUGUGCUACGUGGGCACAAGGAGUUAGUGCCAAGGGACAAAGCCUAACUCGUCUUACGACGGACUGUAAGCUGGUGGCGCACGGUGCGUGACUAGGGCAAAGUAGUCGGCACGUGACACAGUGCUUCGUUUUGGAGAGGGAUGGUGAAACUUUGGAAGACUUCUCGUAUAAGAAAUGCGUGUUUGGUGCACUGAAGCUUAUGGCUCCUUGGAGGGCAAAACUCUGUCAAACCUGAUGGUCCAACAAUGGUUGUCUGAUGUUUGAACAGAUGGUGUUCUUUCACCCUUCUUCCCCCAAAAGGAUCGGAAAAAAGAUAAUGAAGGAAAAAAAAAACCUAUUUCUGUGGUUUUCUGGAAUAUUUGAGUUUUCAGACCUGAAUGACACAGCAAGGUAUCUGAGCAACAAUUUAAGCUUUUAGAACUAUAUAUAUUGUACUAGUACAAUUUUUUUGCCGAAUUGAACUGUGAUGCAGCAGACCACCUGUUGCGUUAUGUUGUGUUUGUGAAAUAUGAUAGGGUUAGUCCUUCCUCUAUGCUUCUUUUUUGCAGCUUCAUCUUCAUCUAUUUUGCUGCGAUUUUGUAAAGGCAAAAAAGAUCUUAGUGGAAGCAGCAAAGAGAAGCUGGGAAAGCUUAUAUUAUAGUUUCUGACUUUCUUCAUGUAAUCUGUAAAACUGUAUUUCGCAGUGCAAACAUUUUCCUUUCAUCCAUUUCAAUUCUUUGUUACUUCAUAUUCAUAUUUUAACUUAACUA